AAGAAAAAAAUGCAUCUUAGUUUAUAAAGAGUGCUGAGAACAGUAUUAGAAACGUUUUCUGUAUAUGUAUGAUCCAUGGCAGCUUUUGCAUGGCUUUUAAGGUACUGGGGAGUUAUCAAAUUGUUGAGAAAUGAAAAAUCAAUGGCCAAGUCUAGAGAGAAAGGCCUGAGUAGGAUGACAAAGGCGGUUCAGUGCUUGUUCAUUACUUUAUCAUAAUACAUAUUUCUUUUUUCUUCUGUGAGUUGACUGCUGUAUUAUUUUUAUUUGUUGAUACAUCUCAGUAAGACCUGUGAGUCUUAUAGUCAGUGAACUGGUCAUAAUGGAGUCCACAGUUCCUCUGAUGUAAGCAAUGGUCUCCUAAACAACUGAACCCACUACAUGUUGACUCAUUAGAAAAGAUGAUUUCUUACAAAGAUAGUUUAAGACAUGUAUUGUACUUGAACGACAGAGAAAACAGGAGCUGGAGUAGAUAAGCAGUGGGAGGUGGGAGGAAGCUUAAGUUGUGGAAGAUAAACGUAACAAAAAAUGCACAUAUCACAAACAUGAUAAGCCACAUGAUUACUGAAACUCUGAAAGGCCGUGUUUUGUCAUUCUUACCUAUAUUGCUUCAGUGAGGAAGGAUCAGUGAGGUGAUAAUUACGAUAAUUUUUUACUACAGUGAUAUUCCUUUCUUGCUCCACUGGUCCAUGGCCCCCGGAGGGACCAGUCUUAAGCCUUUCAUUAUUAUUCAUCAGUCGCGGCAACACCAGUGUGCUAUCUUAUCACAGUUAUCUGACGUCUGUGAUCUGCUGUACACCGUUCUGCUGCACCAUAAGACUGGAGCCAUCAAAUGUAUCUUUAAAGUCAUUAUUAAAACUGAUCUUGUGUACAGUUGGCAACAAGAGACAUUCUACCUACCUACUCAACCUAUCCCACUAACUCAGGACAACACACAGCACCCCAAACACCAUUAUCUCAAACUUCAAUGAUAAAUUUUACUGCCUUACUUAAUGCCUCAGGUCGGCAAUGUUCCACUUGGCUGCAAGUUUACCCCACACAGUUACAUCUUAUCUGAUAAUAUCCUCAGCUCUGUCCCUGCAAUCUUAUUUCCUGAAUGAACUGAUGUGGGGAAGGGAGGGAGUGAAGGAGGGCACUGGGAGAAGAGCUAUGUGGUGGGAGAAAGAUGAUGUGCUAGAAUGUGUGCACUACAAUGAGGUUGAAGAGGCAAAAAAAGGGUGACUGAUGUUUAUGUGGUGUGAUGUUUAUGUGGAAAGGGUUGGUGAAAAAAAUGAAACAUAUUUUUUGUGGAAAAUAUGAGAUCUGAAGAAAAGUGAGUUAAAAACAUUUGGAAAUACAAUGUUUAACAAAUAUCUAAGAAAGGUGAUUAAUACGAAUGAUUUCUUUAUAAUCAAUACCCAAAUUAUCUGAUCAGAAAGGAUUUGGUGGCUUUAAAAUUUAUGUUUAUCCAAAAUAAUUAAGUACAGCUGGUGGGUGAUUGCCUAGAGGAUUGCAGUCAUCCUAUAACUAUGUUUAUGGAGGAUUGCAGCUGAUACACUAAAUACAGCAGUAAGAGGAAGGAGUGCCGGGGUGGAGUGAGUCAAGGCACUGAAGCCAGGCUCAAUGACAUCGCCAAAUAUGGAGUUUGAAAAUCGUUGAGCGAGGUUCAAGACUUAUCAGCUUGGCCACUUCUCACAGAUAGGAAGACACACAUGUAAUCUUUCUAGUGAGGGGAAUAGGGUGGAAUGUAGAUUUCAUGACACAAUCUCCUUAUAUGAUUUAAAAUGAUAAGACGGAUUUUUCCCAUAACCAGGUGGCGCCACGGUAAAGGAUUCAAUUUAUUACAUAGUUAUUAAUUUGCACUAUACACACGGCAGCUUUUGUGGUGGCCUUCUUUCAUGACAAUGGCCACAAUACAUGAUCUUGUGGCUCAACCCUGAAAUUAGUCCCAUUCAACCUGCCCUAACCGAAUUCCAUCAUCUGUCUCCCAUCACAUAGUUCUCUUCCCACUCUCCCAAUGCCCUCCUUCACUCCCUCCCAUCCCUCAGAAAGUCAAGCUUCACAUCAUGUAACAAUAACAACACAACACAGAAAUACAUGUCAUUCAAAAUCAUCCCACACAGAGGUGACAAGGUCUGACCCUGAACAGAAUGAUAACUGUGCUCAGAAAAAUGUCUGUCAUCUUUCUGACACCAGAUCAAAAAUUCCAAUGAUGACCUGAGUGGGUGUCACCUUCAUCACACACCACACACUGGGCACAGACCUUGACUGGAUCCUUCCUGACAAAUGCACAGGAAAAAUACUUGCCAGUCUUUGUACCUCUUUGAUUACCUGCUUAGCAUACCACACUCAACAGAAAACAUGAUAAUCAAUCUAUUCCUUAUCUUUGAAUUUAUCAAUACCACAGACAAGGAAUACUUCUCCACACUCUGCCCUAUAUCCAAACGCCAACCUGAGAAAGUAUUCUUAAGAGUGCAACCUGCCUGUGCUCACCCCACCUUAAAAGCACAAAAACAAAGUACUAACAAUGCUGGUUUGAACUCUUCAUAGAAUCUUCCUGCAAGGUAGCCAUUACAGCAAUCUACGGGUUUUCCUUUCCCAGUGCAGUGACCCGUCCCACACAGCAAGCAACCAAAGCACCACUUGGCAGUGUUGUGCCCUUGCUGGCUGAAAGGGUGGAGCUCAGCCUUCCCAUUUUGGUAGUUGUGGUUCACUUCCUGGCCCUUCCUUUACAAGGUUUUCUUAAACAUGGGAAUAGGUGUGCUAUGUACCGGUGUAGAGUCCAUACAUGGUCCCCAGAAAGUAGAGCAAGUAAGAUAGGUGAGUGGCAAGUGAGUGGUUAGAAGCUGUGAUCAGUUGUUUAUUAUUAAGGUUGUACUGCGUGACACCAAACUAUUCCCUUGAACUUUGCCCAGGUUACUGAUUGGCUGGCUAGUUUUUGUUAUCUUUGAUAGAAAGAACACCCUACACCAUGAAAUGAUCUUACAUUAGUGAUAUUAAAGAUGAAAAAUUUGUGUAAAAUGAAGUUUAAAAUUAAGUCAAUGAUAAGAUGUGGUGGAGGGGAUGGAGUGGCUGGGGCUCAAGGGAAUGGCUGGCAGCCAAUGACUUUAGUAUAUCAGGGCCAUACCCAAGAGCUGUAAAAGGGGGAAGGGGUCUUUUUCCACUCAAUGUGGACCUUUGCAGCCACUUGAAGAGCGGUGAGUGGCAAGUGAAGCAAGCAAAAUCAUCCGGGGGUUUGGGGUUUUGAAAUUUUUUUUUUUACAUAUCUGGGUGCAUUUUCCUGUUGUCAAAAUGAGUUUUCAUCCCAAUUUUUUAUUUUGACUUUCUCAGAAAGUGGACCUUUUAGAAGAUGGGGAAGAUUCAUCCGACCCCACCCCCAACCCCCCAUGGGUAUGGCCCUGCAUAUACAGGAGUUGUGAGCCACACAGCUCUGUGGGUCCAGUGCUAUUACUACAUUUUGUACUACAUUAUGAUUAGUACUAAAACACUGAUAAUCUAUUAUACAAGCAAUACUGAAAUGACUAGCAAUUUCUUUCUUAAUAUGUAAAGUAUUACAUUUGGAGGCUUACAAGACUAAUUCUAAAGUUCACAAUACAAUAGGCAGUCAUUUCUUAUUGGAUAGCAAUAAAAUGCAUGGCAAUCAAGGUCUAAGUUUAUUAUUAUGCAGUGUUAGCCAGUACACAAGGGACACAUGCAGACUACUAAGUAAAUACUAAUGCUGUUAUGUCAUAAUUCACUAAAAAGCUUAUAGUACAACACAGCUUGGCUACACCUGCGGCAAAACUUAAGAGUAGGAAAGGUUGUUAGCAGGUCAAGGAGACUGUGGGGCACCCUAAGAACCCUUCCAUGCAAUGCCGUGAAUGGAGCAAAAGGAAAUAGUAGGCCUACCAAGUGAUGAGGUCCGCCCAGAACAUAAAAUAGAAUGAGCAGCGCGGCAUUUGUCCUCCAGCAAAAAGUCCUGCGUUUAGCCCGGAAGUGUCCAGCAAAGGCGUUUUUUGUGCUUUUUAUGAAGUGUCUUUUAUUUCAUACAAAAUUCAUUAAGUUUUCAUCAAAUUUUGGUUGCUGGCUUAUCAACUUAACCCGGUAGCAGCGGGGAUCAUGUUUCUUAAUGGUCCCUCCAAGCGAGAAAAAUGAGAAAAAAAUCACCCCUCACACAAACCAUUUCAUAAUAUAUAUCAAAGCAUUUGUGAUCAGAUUAUAUAUCAUCUAUUUUGGGGGGUUUAUAUCAUGGCACAAAUUUGGCCCAUCGCUGCUACACGGUAAAGCCACAAAUUUGGCCCGUCGCUGCUACACGGUAAAGCCACAAAUUUGGCCCGUCGCUGCUACUGGGUUAAGAAAUAGUUUUUUUUCUGAGCCAGUAGCAGAUAACGCCACAGAUUAAAAGGAUUACCGUGAUAGCAAUGAGGUUUGAUGAGCUGUCAGGCAGUAAGCAGCCACUGCCAUUAAUACAACGAUUUACUGAUUAUAAAGUUAAUUAUACACAAAUAUUAAUGUUAUGAAUUAUUGUGGGAAGUUAUAAAAUCAAAAUAUGAACAAGAUGGUUUUAGAAAAAUUAAUGUAAGUCAAGGCUUCAAUAAACAUGCCAGGUCCACAUGCCAUGCUGACUCCCUCCAGGCUAAGAAGGCUGAACACCAAAACCUGCAUCACCACACGUACACCUCUGCCUCCCUCCUUCCUUCCUUCCUUUCAAGACCCAACAACUCUGAUAUGUUUCCUAGUACAAAUUCACUUGUCCUGUACACCACAUAUCUUACUUAUUUUCUUUUUUCAGCUCUGACUGGAUCACGAGCUGCACAUCGACACAUCAAGAGGAAGGUGACGUGCAGGUGAUCUUAAAGCCUGUCCUGCCAGCCUUCAAGACCAAGCUCAAAUAUCAGUCCACCUCACCUGGCUUGCAGAACCUCCCUAAACAGGGCACCUUGCAGACCACCUGGUGUUGGCAAAGCACCACAACCAUCCACUAUAAAGACUUGGCUCUCACUGCCCCUUCCUGGUCCAUCAGCGCCAAAGAUCAAGCCUGCCUGAUCUACUGUUAUCUCUGCUAUCAGUGGUUGGCUGGAACUGCUAUUGUGGGGGACAGAGGAGACAAGGGACCUGCAGGCCUUAUCAGUGUCCUGGUAUGCUGCCACUCUCUCCAAGAUAAGGUAUCAGGGAACAGCACAUCCAUCCUGCUUGGCAGGUUCACUUUAAAUAGGAGGAAAAGGGAAGUGAUAGUGAGGUGAGGAAGGAAGAAGACAAUAGAUAUCAUUGGAAUGUGUGGAGGCAGCUUGUGCAGAAAAAGUGUAAAAUAAGUUUGGUCUUCAUUAAUGGAGUCAAGGGUAGGCUCUACACCUUCAUGGCCAGGACAAUACUUACUGGAUGCUUCAUCAUCUGCUCCAAGGCCGGAAUCCAUUUGCAAGAAUUAGCAUGAAAGUCUUACAUCAAAAGCUGUCCUCGAGGCAUGAGAUUUUGUUUCAUCUACACGGGCAAAGAUCCACACAAGAAGUACACACCUGCUGGUUGGACUGUGGCCGAGACAGUCGAGAGCCAUCCUGGCGUGGCAGUGGUGUGCCCUCGGGAAGCACCUUCACCUGGCACCUGCAGGUGGUGGUGGCAAGGGUGCUGGUGGCGGUGGCAGUCACCUCCCCAGCAUCAGCCAGCGUGCAGUCUGUGAGCCGCAGUGUCCACGUCCCGUACUGGUCACUCUCUGGCAAGGGAGGAAAGACGCUACAUAAACAAGAUCCUGAUAAACAAAGUGCUCAGAAAAGAACCCUCGGAGCAAAUGACUUCUCAGCAGCCAUGUCAUGCUCAGGCACACAUUUCCAAGACUUGACCUGAGGCGUCCCACUCACCUAUGGCCAGGCGAGAGGACGGCUCCAACAGGUGCUUGCCGUGGGAAAAGAUGACCCGAGGCUCUGGGUGGCCCUGCACCUGGCACUGAAGGCUCAGCUCCCCACCC